GUGGGGAAUUUUGGACAAUGGGCGAAAGCCUGAUCCAGCCAUGCCGCGUGCAGGAUGAAGGCCUUCGGGUUGUAAACUGCUUUUGUACGGAACGAAAAGACUCCUUCUAAUAAAGGGGGUCCAUGACGGUACCGUAAGAAUAAGCACCGGCUAACUACGUGCCAGCAGCCGCGGUAAUACGUAGGGUGCAAGCGUUAAUCGGAAUUACUGGGCGUAAAGCGUGCGCAGGCGGCUCUGCAAGACAGAUGUGAAAGCCCCGGGCUCAACCUGGGAACUGCAUUUGUGACUGCAAGGCUAGAGUGCGUCAGAGGGAGGUGGAAUUCCGCGUGUAGCAGUGAAAUGCGUAGAGAUGCGGAGGAACACCGAUGGCGAAGGCAGCCUCCUGGGAUGACACUGACGCUCAUGCACGAAAGCGUGGGGAGCAAACAGGAUUAGAUACCCCUGUAGUCC
rnacentral:rRNA from 1 species